UCCUGACCCUGGCAGCUGGCAGCUACCUGCAAUGUGGAACCUUCUCUCUUCAUUGACUGGUUCAGUGGGCACCUCAACUUCCAGAUUGAACACCAGUGAGUGUGGCCUGGAGGGCUUGCUGGGUAUGGGGUGACUCUGUGGGGUCCCUGGAAGAUGUGGCCUGGGUGGGCUCCCUCUGGUGGUUCCCUACUCAGAUCUGGUCUGCCCUUCCAGCCUCUUUCCCACGAUGCCAAGGCACAACUACCGGAGGGUGGCCCCCCUGGUCAAGGCAUUCUGUGCCAAGCAUGGUCUACACUACGAAGUGAAGCCCUUCCUCACCGCCCUGGUGGAUAUCAUCGGGUAAGGCUACACUGGGUCCCUCAGGUUGCAUGUCCUAGUUUCUUCCAAGGCUCGCUCCUGACUAGGUCAGCAUCUUCUGCACCCUUGUCCUCUGAGGGGGCCCUUCCUAAGAACUGACUUUCUAGAGCUUUCCUGAUUAGCCAGUGCUCUCCUUUCCCCACAGCAUGGAGGGCUCACAUGGCAGUGAGUCUGGCAGUCUGAGAGGCUGUGUCCCGGGA
rnacentral:lncRNA from 1 species